rnacentral:tRNA from 2 species
GCUCCAGUAGCUUAAACCUUUAAAGCAUUGGUCUUGUAAACCAGAGAAUGAAGUAUAAAACCUUCCUGAAGCU